AUCCUUUUGUAGCUGCUGAGCACGAUGACUGCGUGUUCAUGCUCAUUUGUGAGGUGUCCCACCCUUGAACCUUGUUACAACAUCGGCACAUUACCUGUCUGAUA
ensembl:snoRNA